ensembl:lncRNA
AAAAUACAGUCCUGAAUAAAUGCCACUUUAGACUGCAUCCUUGUCUAUUGUAGGACUUCAUUAUUAAGAUUGAGCUGGAAAAAGCAGAAAAUGGAAGCCUGGGAUUUGCACUGGUAGGUGGAAAAAAUGGCAGGGCUAUCCUAAUAAAAGCCAUCAGCCCGGACAGCAGCGCAGAUCUGGAUGGGAGACUUCAAGUUGGUGACAUCUUACUGAAGGUGAAUGAGACCUUUGUGUCUGGUCUGCCACGCCAAACAGUCACAGAUCUGCUGCGCAAGGCACAAGGCACCGUUCAACUCACUGUCUGCCGAAGCCUGGCUUUGCACUGGGCCUAUUCAGGCAACCAGAGCAACAGAG